CCUACGGGCGGCUGCAGUGGGGAAUAUUGGACAAUGGGCGAAAGCCUGAUCCAGUCAUGCCGCGUGUGUGAAGAAGGCCUUCGGGUUGUAAAGCACUUUCAGUGGGGAAGAAAGCCUUGGGGCUAAUACCCUCGAGGAAGGACAUCACCCACAGAAGAAGCACCGGCUAACUCCGUGCCAGCAGCCGCGGUAAUACGGAGGGUGCGAGCGUUAAUCGGAAUUACUGGGCGUAAAGCGCGCGUAGGCGGUCUGAUAAGCCGGUUGUGAAAGCCCCGGGCUCAACCUGGGAACGGCAUCCGGAACUGUCAGGCUAGAGUGCAGGAGAGGAAGGUAGAAUUCCCGGUGUAGCGGUGAAAUGCGUAGAGAUCGGGAGGAAUACCAGUGGCGAAGGCGGCCUUCUGGACUGACACUGACGCUGAGGUGCGAAAGCGUGGGUAGCAAACAGGAUUAGAUACCCCAGUAGU
rnacentral:rRNA from 1 species